AUGGCUGCAGGAUAGAAACCAGCUGAGUAACCAAGAGGCCAGGCUAAGUGGUCGUAGAGGAUCUUAUGAGGAUAAACCACCUGAUGGAAAAGAUGAAGGACUGCUUCACCCCAAGGGCUGUCUUCCCUGGAGGCUGGCUUAGAGCCCAUUUAUAUGAGUGAUUACAGACUGGCAGGCACUUUCUCACAGAACAAUAACAACUCAAAGUGCUAAAAUGGAUUGCCACUUGCCAAGGAGCAAACUUGAAAAAUACAAAAACAAAAACAAAAAAUAUCAUAAGGAACAAACCUUGAAGAGAUCAUGCUAAGGGAAAUAAGCCAGUCAUGACUGUGAUCUUAAGGCAGUAAAGGAAUGGCAACAAGAUAGACUCUUGAAGGAUCACAGCACUGUACCUGGGAGGAGGGACACACAUCAGCCCCUAGUGAUUCCUCACCUAAACACCUUAAUCUUUUCCCCACAUGCUUCUGCUUCUUAUCUCUGGAGGCCUGCAUUCCUUGCAAAAGUUCUGGAUUCCUUUGUUCUCCUGAGGAUAAGUUCCCUGUCCUCAAGCUGCUUGGCCUUGUAAAGAAGACAAACAAGUAAAUAGGCAACAACAAAAAGUA